GCAAGUUGACAGGGCAGCCAGUGAUGACGUCAACUCUGUGCCCCGUCACUACCAGACCCGGAAGCGAGAGAGGGCGGCGCCCCUGAUGUUACGCGCCACCUGACCCAGUGUGUAUUCGCUGCCCGAUGGAGUAGCCAUCCUUGGGGUUGCGGAUCUUUUCUCUCCCCCAGCAACCAGAACCAAGAAACCUUCAGAAGCAAUUUGAAUUUACCAGUAAGAAAGAAUUAAGGCUCGGAGCAGGGCGAACAGUGAUUGAGAACUGAAUUAACGUAUACAAUAAACAACUGAGCAUGUGGAAGAUUUUGGCAAUCGUUUUUCUUGCAACAUGUUUGUGUGAUUAUGAUGAUUUCAAAUGAACAUACUUUAUUGAUAAUUCGAAAUCGGUGAUAGAUGGGAACCAUUCCUAUUUCACAGUUCCCUUUAAUUACGGACAUCUUUUCCAUGUCUCUAUCUAAAGCACUUUAAAGAAAAUGUUUGCUGACACCUGUCUCUACAAGAACACGACUAUAUCAUGGAGAUGCAAGUAUACUAAGUUCAUCACUUCUAAGAACUAUACUUGGGAUAAUACCUUUGCAGAUUCCUUUACUAUAAAUAAGUUCAAACCAUCUUUUCUAAACGGCAGUGGAACUUGGAUAAAGAGACUUAUGUUUACUAAACGCAAUAUUUCAAAAUCUAUGCCAUGAAAUCUUUUGGGUGUUGAUUGAAUUAGAUAUGUAAUACUUCAUGUUAAUUCUUUUAAACUGAAGUCGUUUGUGUAGUUAGGCAAAUAAGAUUGGGAUGGAUUAGGAAUUCUCCAGCAUGUAGUUGUGUUAAUUCUGCUGGUCAAGAAUGAGUUCUUGGUUUUGAAGACAGGCCUAGCCCCUCUUCAGAGCAUAGUAGUCUCAAUACGGUUAUUUGCAUUUAGGUGAGUUUAUAGUUUAGGUUAAUUUUGGUCAUUUUUAGCCAUCUGCUAUUUUAUAGGUUUGGAUCCGGAUUAUUAUAAAUUAAUCGUGUCAUACAAAAAAGGUCAGUUUGCUGGAAACCAUAAAUAUUUCUUAGAGGGGCAUAUCAAGCCAGUUGGACAGCCCUAAAUUUGAUUAUAUUAAGCACUACAGCAACAAAUUGUAGGUAUCCCUUUACUUGACAAUUGGAUUUGACAGCAUUAGCAGACUUACAGGAUCA